rnacentral:lncRNA from 1 species
UUGUUUGCUGAUUGCAGGGUCAAAUGGGGUAACUUAGCUGUCUGAACCUCUGAUAUGCUGGGCAUUUGCAGGACCCAGGGAAACCUAGAUUUAAGUAGCUGAGUGACACCACUGGCAGAUAACCCUGGCAAGAGGAAGCAGAAAUAAUGGACGUGCAGAAAAGCCUCUCAUCAUUAACAUUCAAAGCAGAACUGAAGGGAAGGAAACAGUAUGCAACUUUGAUCCACUUUUUUAUUUUUUGAAAAAAUGACAACAGAUAAAAAGCAACUAACAACAAAAAGACAAGUGUAUGGGAAGGAAUAAUUAGGACUCAAGCCAGUCUUCAUACAGUAGUAGCUUCAGAAAAGGUACAUGGUCUGAUGUUUUCUCUGAAGUCCAAACUGUGGCAUCUCAAAGAUAAACUCACACAACUUUUAGACAUCUUUCUGUCCCCAGGUGCUUUGAGGGAGAGACUGACUUGUAAAUAUUUUGAUUUUGGUUUAUCUCCUCUUGUCUCUGCACUUAAUGUUCAGUUCUGGGAACUGAAAUGUAUUCCAGCUCAGCCAUUCUUCCUGGGAAGCAGCUAGCUUCUACUGCCUGGGAAAGUCCAUAUGUGAUUCUGGUGUUUACAUAAACAGCUAGUAACUUAUCACCUGUCCUCACAUAUGAGAGUAAGAAGGGCUGCUCAGUACGAUACUUAUGGUAAAAGCAGAAUUUUACUCCAUAAUUUCUGUACUCUUAAGGUUACAUGUACUACGCUUCAGCCAAAACAGAGCAGAAGUGAAACUCCAGCCUGGACAAGACAGUUUUGCUUCCUCUGCGUGAUGGACACAAAUGCUUUCAGAUCUGCUGAUUUGGUAGAAGUGAACUUGGAUCAUCCAGGACCAUGUUAUUGGGGCUCCACCUUACGGCAGAUGAGAGCAGAAUGGCAGUGGCAUUAUAACUUCUCCAGGUUAGAAACUAGGGAGAAGAAAUUUGAUAUGAUACGAUAUUUUGCUUUGGGCCAAAAAAGAAUGCAUUCUCCAAACAGAGAAUGCAUUUUUUCAUAGUGCCUCAAGAUCUAUGCAAAAUAAGAGUAUUUCUAGUAGUUCUAUUUUUACAGCGUCUUACAUAAUAAUGAUUUAUUUGGCAUGAACAUAACUGUGCAGACAAUUAAAAAACAUCUCUUUUUCAAGUAAUUUGUAAUCUCUG